AACAGGCACCAUGGAGCUACGCUGGGGGGGGCGGAGAGUGGGGGGGAGAAGAGGCACCAUGGAGCUACGCUGGGGGGGGCGGAGAGUGGGGGGGAGAAGAGGCACCAUGGAGCUACGCUGGGGGGGGCGGAGAGUGGGGGGAAGGAUGUGACGAAGUGGGACUGUUCUUAAUGUUUCCUCUGAAUAGUGUGGGGGUGCCUCAGUUUCCCCUAGGCAGUUCUUAAGUAUCUAGGGGGUGGGGUAAGGGUGUAUGAUCAUUGCAGAGCCCUAGAGGGCAGGUGUGUGCAGGGGCCUGGACACAGAGAAUGGCCGACACCCUGUUUCCUGGCAACUGAUGGCCUGGGCCCUUCCCCCCCUGCAAGGUGAGAGCUGAAGGGUUGGAGAACAAAGGAAUCAGGUGACCACCUGGCCCGGGAAAGGAACAAAGCCCAGAGGAGGAGGGGCUGGGGGGGUUUUCAGUUUGGGGCUGGCUGGGACAUGGAGUGAAGUGCAGACGUGGUUGUCUGGCUCACUGCCCCCCAGAAUGGACCCAGCUGAGGGGUCCCGUUCUCUGCACCUGCAAGCUCUGUUUUAGACCAUGUUCCUGUCGUCUAAUAAACCUUCUGUUUUACUGGCUG